CCUACGGGAGGCAGCAGUGGGGAAUAUUGGGCAAUGGGCGCAAGCCUGACCCAGCAACGCCGCGUGAAGGAAGAAGGCUUUCGGGUUGUAAACUUCUUUUGUCAGGGAAGAGUAGAAGACGGUACCUGACGAAUAAGCCACGGCUAACUACGUGCCAGCAGCCGCGGUAAUACGUAGGUGGCAAGCGUUGUCCGGAUUUACUGGGUGUAAAGGGCGUGUAGCCGGGUUGACAAGUCAGAUGUGAAAUCCUGCGGCUUAACCGCAGAACUGCAUUUGAAACUGUUGAUCUUGAGUACUGGAGAGGCAGAUGGAAUUCCUAGUGUAGCGGUGAAAUGCGUAGAUAUUAGGAGGAACACCAGUGGCGAAGGCGGUCUGCUGGACAGCAACUGACGGUGAGGCGCGAAAGCGUGGGGAGCAAACAGGAUUAGAUACCCCUGUGUC
rnacentral:rRNA from 1 species